rnacentral:rRNA from 1 species
GACGAACGCUGGCGGCGUGCCUAAUACAUGCAAGUUGAGCGCUGAAGGUUGGUACUUGUACCAACUGGAUGAGCAGCGAACGGGUGAGUAACGCGUGGGGAAUCUGCCUUUGAGCGGGGGACAACAUUUGGAAACGAAUGCUAAUACCGCAUAAAAACUUUAAACACAAGUUUUAAGUUUGAAAGAUGCAAUUGCAUCACUCAAAGAUGAUCCCGCGUUGUAUUAGCUAGUUGGUGAGGUAAAGGCUCACCAAGGCGAUGAUACAUAGCCGACCUGAGAGGGUGAUCGGCCACAGUGGGACUGAGACACGGCCCAAACGCCUACGGGAGGCAGCAGUAGGGAAUCUUCGGCAAUGGACGAAAGUCUGACCGAGCAACGCCGCGUGAGUGAAGAAGGUUUUCGGAUCGUAAAACUCUGUUGGUAGAGAAGAACGUUGGUGAGAGUGGAAAGCUCAUCAAGUGACGGUAACUACCCAGAAAGGGACGGCUAACUACGUG